ensembl:lncRNA
CCUCAGAGUUCCCCCCGAGCACUGCGGCCACGGCGGAAGAGUUCCGGCUGCAGCCGCUCACGCACACGGUGCUCAGACGCCCCCAAACACGUCCGGCAGAGGGCUUGAACCUGCAGGGAGCGCUGGGCGCCCAGGAGCGCCUUCACAGGGCACGCCGAUUUUACAAGACAUAAUGAUUUGCUGUUCUGACAUCAGAUCAACAGAGAGAAAUUCCAAUUAGGCUUUGAAGACGCACAUAUUUCAGGAACUUGUCAUCCAGCCCUUGGAUCUUGCUGCUGCUGCUGCUGCUAAGUCACUUCAGUCAUUUCCGACUCUGUGCGACCCCAUAAAUGGCAGCCCACCAGGCUCCACCAUCCCUGGGAUUCUCCAGGCAAGAGCACUGGAGUGUGUUGCCAUUUCCUUCUCCAAUGCAUGAAAGUGAAAAGUCAAAGUGAAGUCGCUCAGUGGUGUCCGACUCUUUGCGACCCCACGGACUGCAGCCCACGAGGCUCCUCCAUCAAUGGGAUUUUCCAGGCAAGAGUACUGGAGUGGGGUGCCAUUGCCUUCUCCGAACAGGGAUGAAACAUCCUUUUUUGGAUACAAAAUUCCAUCCUGCCCUCAUCCCUACCCAUUUGACCGUGCGUUUACCAAUGUGAACGUCCCAGUUCAUCCACCAUCUGGUGAACUGUUCACUCUGUUGUCUGGGGGUGACUGGGAAUACGUUGAUUCCGUUGGUAGAAGGUUUGAACAACUUUUUCGAGAUUCCCCAAGUAUAAGAAGAGCCGUCAUGAGGCGUGAAGAAGGUGGAGGUGUGCAGUGGAGAGGCUGUCCUGGGAGCUGGGGCCGUGUCUGCGGUGUCUGGCCUGAGGUCGGCACGGGGUGCUGGCCACUGGUCUUUGAGACCUGGAACCUGCCUCCAGGGUUGGGGGCCGGACACACGUCUCGGGUCAGGUUGAAGGUAACAGUGGCUCCUGCCUGUCCCCCUUGCCCUCCGCCCUAUUCCAUCACCCCAGGCACCAUCACUAGGCUUGACUUAGGGAGUAGAUGGGCUCCAGAUUGGAUUCCCGUUUGCAUUUGUCGGGGCACCAAGUGGGCUUCAGGCUGGAUACUUAGAGCUACCAGCGUUUUCUGAGACAAGAGAUAGGUGGGCUCCAGCUGAAGCAUUUACAGUCAGCCUCCUGCUCGCCCUCCGAGGCGGAAGUCACAACAGCAACAGGGCAAACGCCAGCGUGUGUCUUCUGUGAGCACGUUACGGUGGCGGUCACGGCAGUGGUCACGGCGACGGCAAAGAAGGGCGAAACCCCGUGUGAGUGAAGGCUCAAGGGGUCACAGCAGUGGUCACGGCAACGGCAAAGAAGGGAAAGCCCUGUGUGAGUGAAGGCUCAAGGGGUCACGGCAGUGGUCACGGCGACGGCAAAGAAGGGAAAGCCCUGUGUGAGUGAAGGCUCAAGGGAUCGCCGCUCCACCCUUGUUGGGACAAAAGAGACACUACAUACGUGCAGAAAGGCUCCUUGUGGGUCAAAAGUCAAGGGCUAGUGCCAGGCCGUAAUGGGUCUUGCUCUUCCCAGAAGCCUUCACUCCGAGAU